GAUGCCCUUGAUCGACCUUGGCGCGAUGCUCGGUUUUGAACCCAGCGAACCGGCGAUGCUCGUGAUCGUCGGGGUGUCG
rnacentral:tRNA from 1 species